rnacentral:rRNA from 1 species
CCUACGGGGGGCUGCAGUGGGGAAUAUUGCACAAUGGGCGCAAGCCUGAUGCAGCGACGCCGCGUGAGCGAAGAAGGUCUUCGGAUCGUAAAGCUCUGUUGUUAGGGAAGAACAAGUACGGGAGGAAAUGACCGUACCUUGACGGUACCUAACGAGGAAGCCACGGCUAACUACGUGCCAGCAGCCGCGGUAAUACGUAGGGGGCGAGCGUUAUCCGGAAUCACUGGGCGUAAAGGGUGCGUAGGCGGCUAAGUAAGCCAGGGGUGAAAGGCUACGGCUCAACCGUAGUAAGCCUUUGGAACUACUUAGCUUGAGUGCAGGAGAGGAGAGUGGAAUUCCUAGUGUAGCGGUGAAAUGCGUAGAUAUUAGGAGGAACACCAGUGGCGAAGGCGACUCUCUGGACUGUAACUGACGCUGAGGCACGAAAGCGUGGGGAGCAAACAGGAUUAGAUACCCCUGUAGUC